UACAGGGGGGGCAAGCGUUGUUCGGAAUUACUGGGCGUAAAGGGUCUGUAGGUGGCUCGCUAAGUCAGACGUGAAAUCCCUCAGCUUAACUGGGGAACUGCGUCUGAUACUGAUGAGCUUGAGUGCAGGAGAGGAACGCGGAAUUCCAGGUGUAGCGGUGAAAUGCGUAGAUAUCUGGAGGAACACCGGUGGCGAAGGCGGCGUUCUGGACUGCAACUGACACUGAGAGACGAAAGCCAGGGGAGCAAACGGG
rnacentral:rRNA from 1 species